UACGAAGGGUGCAAGCGUUACUCGGAAUUACUGGGCGUAAAGCGUGCGUAGGUGGUUUGUUAAGUCUGUUGUGAAAGCCCCGGGCUCAACCUGGGAAUGGCAAUGGAUACUGGCAGGCUAGAGUGCGGUAGAGGGUAGUGGAAUUCCCGGUGUAGCGGUGAAAUGCGUAGAGAAUCGGGAGGAACACCAGUGGCGAAGGCGGCUACCUGGACCAGCCACUGACACUGAGGCACGAAAGCGUGGGGAGCAAACAGGAUUAGACUACC
rnacentral:rRNA from 1 species